rnacentral:rRNA from 1 species
CCUACGGGGGGCUGCAGUGAGGAAUAUUGGUCAAUGGACGAGAGUCUGAACCAGCCAAGUAGCGUGAAGGAUGACUGCCCUAUGGGUUGUAAACUUCUUGUAUAAAGGAAUAAAACGAGGCACGUGUGCCUUUUUGCAUGUACUUUAUGAAUAAGGAUCGGCUAACUCCGUGCCAGCAGCCGCGGUAAUACGGAGGAUCCGAGCGUUAUCCGGAUUUAUUGGGUUUAAAGGGAGCGUAGAUGGGUUGUUAAGUCAGUUGUGAACGUUUGCGGCUCAACCGUAAAAUUGCAAUUGAUACUGGCAGUCUUGAGUACAGUUGAGGUAGGCGGAAUUCGUGGUGUAGCGGUGAAAUGCGUAGAUAUCACGAAGAACCCCGAUUGCGAAGGCAGCUUACUAAACUGUAACUGACAUUGAUGCUCGAAAGUGUGGGUAGCAAACAGGAUUAGAUACCCGAGUAGUC